AGCUCCAGACAGAGACAGUUAUAGUGGUGAGUUGUAUCUCCAGACAGAGACACAGUUGUAGUGGUGAGUUGUAUCUCCAGACAGAGACACAGUUGUAGUGGUGAGUUGUAUCUCCAGACAGAGACACCGUUGUAGUGGUGAGUUGUAUCUCCAGAGGAACAGUUACAGUGGUGAGUUGUAUCUCCAGACAGAGACACAGUUAUAGUGGUGAGUUGUAUCUCCAGACAGAGACACAGUUAUAGUGGUUACUCCAGACAGACACAGUUAUAGUGGUGAGUUGCAUCUCCAGACAGAGACAGUUAUAGUGGUAUCUCCAGACAGAGACACAGUUGUAGUGGUGAGUUGUAUCUCCAGACAAGAGACACAUUAUAGUGGUUACUCCAGACAGAGACACAGUUAUAGUGGUUACUCCAGACAGAGACACAGUUAUAGUGGUAUCUCCAGACAGAGACACAGUUGUAGUGCUGAGUUGUAUCUCCAGACAGAGACACAGUUACAGUGGUGAGUUGUAUCUCCAGACCGAGACGCAGUUAUAGUGGUUACUCCAGACAGACACAGUUGUAGUGGUGAGUUGUAUCUCUAGACAGAGACGCCGUUGUAGUGGUGAGUUGUAUCUCCAGACAGAGACACCGUUGUAGUGGUGAGUUGUAUCUCCAGACAGAGACACCGUUGUAGUGGUGAGUUGUAUCUCCAGACAGAGACAGUUAUAGUGGUAUCUCCAGACAGAGACACAGUUAUUGUGGUGAGUUGUAAGCUCUAGACAGAGACACAGUUAUAGUGGUGAGUUGUAUCUCCAGACAGAGACACAGUUGUAGUGGUGAGUUGUAUCUCCAGACAGAGACAGUUAUAGUGGUAUCUCCAGACAGAGACACAGUUAUUGUGGUGAGUUGUAAGCUCUAGACAGAGACAGUUAUAGUGGUGAGUUGUAUCUCCAGACAGAGACACAGUUGUAGUGGUGAGUUGUAUCUCCAGACAGAGACACAGUUGUAGUGGUGAGUUGUAUCUCCAGACAGAGACACAGUUGUAGUGGUGAGUUGUAUCUCCAGACAGAGACACAGUUGUAGUGGUGAGUUGUAUCUCCAGACAGAGAGACAGUUACAGUGGUGAGUUGUAAUCUCCAUACCGAGACGCAGUUAUAGUGGUGAGGUGUAUAUCUAGACAGAGACACAGUUAUAGUGGUGAGUUGUGUCUCCAGUGGUGCUUUUACAUAUUGUAUUUGUUUUAAACAUGAUCUGGUUAAAAAGGAGGAUCGGAUCGGAUCUCGCCAGACACUGGAACAGAAGUGGUUGAGAAACACUGUACUGCACUGCCAAUGUUAUGUGUCAGCACCUACUGCCUGUCUAAGUAGGGUGUGUAGGGUCAGGGUGUGUGUAUGGAGGCAUGCACAGUGACGUGGACUGGUGUGGAUAAAAUGCCAGGGUCCAAUGCAUGUCCCAGUCUGCAGCUGCAACUUUGUGUUUUUUUUAAUAAGGCUGAUUGAGGAAUUAGGGCUAAGAUAGGGAAGAAUAGAGAAUAAUAUAUAUACUGUAGGGUAGAAAACUCAACAUGUUUUUAAACGUCCACUUGCCACCUAUCCAGUCUGUCCAUAGGCCUCUGACGUAUGUAAAUCAAAUUUGGGAACGUUAACAAAUAAAGUGACAUGAAACCAGC
ensembl:lncRNA